rnacentral:rRNA from 1 species
UACGAAGGGGGCUAGCGUUGUUCGGAUUUACUGGGCGUAAAGCGCACGUAGGCGGAUAUUUAAGUCAGGGGUGAAAUCCCGGGGCUCAACCCCGGAACUGCCUCUGAUACUGGAUAUCUCGAGUCCGGAAGAGGUGAGUGGAAUUCCGAGUGUAGAGGUGAAAUUCGUAGAUAUUCGGAGGAACACCAGUGGCGAAGGCGGCUCACUGGUCCGGUACUGACGCUGAGGUGCGAAAGCGUGGGGAGCAAACAGG